rnacentral:lncRNA from 12 species
CCUAGAGCCAGAUACUAGGAACAGCUUUAUCAACCCGGCGUCUGGAACAAUCUCUACGACUGCCGAAUGCAGGGGCGGGGGAGGAAACAUUCAUGUCAUCUGAACCCUUAAAAAAAAAAAAACACACACACACACACACACACACACACAACUUGCUGCCUGGGACCUCUACCGAGUUCAACGGGGAACCCAAAAAUAGCAUGACAGUGACAGGGAGCGAUGGGAGCUUACAAGAAGCAACGGCUACCAGGGGCCAAACAGCCAGCGGAACACAUGAAGGAAUGUUAUCCAAUAGAAGAUUCUGGCCUCGGAAUAUACUUCGAGUUUAGUAAGUUUCAGGACAGCCCUCAUCAAUUCUUUCUCCCUGUCCCCCCACCCCCAUUCCACCAAAAUUCCAGAGCAGGGAUAGGAGGAGGUAAUGAGGAGUGAAAGUGGGCAGCAGGGAGCUCAGAGAGAAGGCGAGUGAGGUGUAUGAACGAGUAGAUGUGUAGGGGAAGGCUCCGGGGGUAACUUCAGACAGUAAUAACAGGUUUGGGGGCUAUGCACUUGACUCAGGCUACUGUCCAGGUUGAGAGCAGACUCUGAGCCAUUAGGAGGCAGAAGUUUAGUUUUGAAUCUGCUUUGCAGUUUCUAGAAGUUCCCAAAAUUGUCUAUGGCAGGGGGGCCUGGCUGGCCCAUUCAGAGAAGUGCAAGACUCUUGACCUCAGGGUUUUGAGUUCAAGCUCUGAGUCAGGUGUAGAGAUUACUAAGAAAAGUAAAUGUACUUUAAAAAAUGGUCUAGGGCAAUGAAUUUUCUUUGGUAAAGCCAGUCUACUAGCAAGAACUAAAAAUAACUUGCCCUCCUCCACCCUCUUCCCAAAUCCCAGUCCCAAACCUAAACUUUUCAUGGGUACAUUCAUUUUUCCUGCUCUUGGAGAAAGGAGGGGAUCUCUCUCUCUCUCUCUCUCUCAUUUCAUUUGGGAGAAUGGGGGAUGGUGGGUGCAUGUCCAAUGCACUGGGGCCGGUUUUUCCCUUGUUCACCACUUCUCAUCAAGCAAUGUUGAAAUGAUAAGUUGACCCAAUUUACUGCUUUCCUUAAGGGAAAUAAAGUACCAGCCAGAGGAGGUGAGUAUCUGAUA